UAAACCAGGACUAAACCUGGACUGAACCAGGACUAAACCAGGUCUAAACCAGGACUAAACCAGGACUAAACCAGAACUAAACCAGGACUAAACCAGGACUAAACCAGGACUAAACCAGAACUAAACCAGGACUAAACCAGGUCUAAACCAGGACUAAACCAGGACUAAACCAGGACUAAACCAGAACUAAACCAGGACUAAACCAGGACUAAACCAGGACUAAACCAGAACUAAACCAGGACUAAACCAGGACUAAACCAGGACUGAACCAGGACUAAACCAGGACUAAACCAGGUCUAAACCAGGUCUAAACCAGGUCUAAAUCAGGACUAAACCAGGACUAAACCAGGUCUAAACCAGGUCUAAAUCAGGACUAAACCAGGACUAAACCAGAUCUAAACCAGGACUAAACCAGGACUAAACCAGGACUAAACCAGGACUAAACCAGG
ensembl:lncRNA